CCUACGGGUGGCUGCAGUGGGGAAUAUUGGACAAUGGGCGAAAGCCUGAUCCAGCCAUGCCGCGUGUGUGAAGAAGGCCUUCGGGUUGUAAAGCACUUUCAGUGGGGAAGAAAGCCUUGGGGCUAAUACCCUCGAGGAAGGACAUCACCCACAGAAGAAGCACCGGCUAACUCCGUGCCAGCAGCCGCGGUAAUACGGAGGGUGCGAGCGUUAAUCGGAAUUACUGGGCGUAAAGCGCGCGUAGGCGGUCUGAUAAGCCGGUUGUGAAAGCCCCGGGCUCAACCUGGGAACGGCAUCCGGAACUGUCAGGCUAGAGUGCAGGAGAGGAAGGUAGAAUUCCCGGUGUAGCGGUGAAAUGCGUAGAGAUCGGGGGAAUACCAGUGGCGAAGGCGGCCUUCUGGACUGACACUGACGCUGAGGUGCGAAAGCGUGGGUAGCAAACAGGAUUAGAUACCCGAGUAGUC
rnacentral:rRNA from 1 species